rnacentral:misc_RNA from 1 species
AGACAACCCUGUGAAAGAGGCCAGGUUCAAUCAGAUAAUUUGCGUCAAUUGAGGGUUUCUGAGGUAUCAAGAAGAGAUGUAUCCCAGAAUAAGGGGAAGGAGAAGUCAGUUUCACUAGCAGUUCAGGCAAAGACCAAUGUUCAGAAAAGAGAGGGGAAGGAAUCUACUUCUAGUAAGAACCCAUUGAACCAGAAAGAACAGAAUGAGUCUAAGUCUGGUCGGAGGCGGACAAGUGUAAAAGUAGGGGAAAGGAAAAAUUCUCUCAACCGUCCUUCUGAUGUGCUCAGACAGAACAACCAGAAGCAGAACUCUGCAUCUAAUAAAG